rnacentral:rRNA from 1 species
UACGUAGGGUGCAAGCGUUGUCCGGAAUUAUUGGGCGUAAAGAGCUCGUAGGCGGUUUGUUGCGUCGGCUGUGAAAUCCCGAGGCUCAACCUCGGGUCUGCAGUCGAUACGAGCAAACUAGAGUGUUGCAGGGGAGACUGGAAUUCCUGGUGUAGCGAUGAAAUGCGCAGAUAUCAGGAGGAACACCGGUGGCGAAGGCGGGUCUCUGGGCAACAACUGACGCUGAGGAGCGAAAGCGUGGGGAGCGAACAGG